GCCCGGGUGGCGGAAUUGGCAGACGCGAGGGAUUCAAAAUCCCUUGUCCUUCGGGGCGUGUGGGUUCAAGUCCCACCCCGGGCACCG
rnacentral:tRNA from 1 species